rnacentral:tRNA from 1 species
UUAACUAAAGCCAAAUAAGCAUAAGAGGCGUACCACUGUUAAUGGUAAAAUUGGACCAAACCUAUAUCCUAGUUAAG